GCCCGAGUGGUGGAACGGUAUACACGCGACACUUAAAAUGUCGUGCUCACAAGGCUUGCCGGUUCGAAUCCGGCCUCGGGCA
rnacentral:tRNA from 1 species